rfam:Papio anubis isolate 1X1155 chromosome 2, whole genome shotgun sequence.
GUCUACAGCCAUACCACCCUGAAUGCGCCUGAUCCUGGCUGAUCUCAGAAGCUAAGCAGGGCUGGGCCUGGUUAGUACUUGGAUGGGAGAAAGAAAGGUGAAGGGAGGAA